AGCAGCCGCGGUAAUUCCAGCUCCAAUAGCGUAUAUUAAAGUUGUUGCAGUUAAAAAGCUCGUAGUUGAAUUUCGGGAUCAAAUUGUCGGUCGUGCCUCGGUACGUACUGGUAUUAUUGGUUCCUCCCUUCUGACGAACCACGAUGUCAUUAAUUUGGUGUCAUGGGAAAUCAGGACUGUUACUUUGAAAAAAUUAGAGUGUUUAAAGCAGGCUCGCGCUUGAAUACAUUAGCAUGGAAUAAUGAAAUAGGACGUUUGAUUCUAUUUUGUUGGUUUCUAGGAUCGACGUAAUGAUUAAUAGGGAUAGUUGGGGGCAUUAGUAUUCAAUUGUCAGAGGUGAAAUUCUUGGAUUUAUUGAAGACUAACUACUGCGAAAGCAUUUGCCAAGGAUGUUUUCAUUAA
rnacentral:rRNA from 1 species